AUUAAGGUUACUCCACAUGAUGGAAACCUAUUUCACCAAAAUGCUCACCGCGCGCUCAAUUUUCAAGUUUUCCCCUUCAAAUUUUGCAUGCAUUAUGAUAAAUCAUUGCUGUAGCUAAAGAUUUGCCAAAAAUUCUACACCUUUAAAAACUGUACUUGCUACGGGUUGCUUUUGAAAAUAUGACGGCCUUUGCGCCACGAGAUUAGAACGCUUCUGAUUUACCUCAAAGGCUUCCGACUAAAAAGUGAUCAAAGAACAAAACCGUGUUCGCGUUUUUUGACAGGUAUUAUAUUUGCUUUGAUAUAAAGCAGAGAAGUUGACUCAUCUAAAUUUUGGGAGAACGGCAGAAUAUAUGCCUAUAACUUGAAAAGUAUGGCACUAAAUAAAAAACGCGAACACGGUUUUGCUGCUGUACUAUUGUUCAACAUUGUGGCAAAGUUUGGAGAGAAUCGGAUAAAACGUGCGCGUUUCUAAACAAUUUUUGUGGGGACAAUCUGAGAAUAUUUCAAUCUCCGUAAAAGACGAUAUUAGGUUUGGCGGGGUUUUUCCGCUCGCUGUUAUCACCUCGAACUACAAUCGGAUUAAAAUUAGUAAAGUGUGUUUCGGCAAGGGUUUUCGGUGUCAUUCACUUAUCAUCAGUUUAUCACAAACCGUACAUGCGAGAAACCACGCGAAAAAACUUGCUAAUAUGCCGGCGAAACGCAAAUGUAAAAAAGGGAUAGCUAUACAGACCGAUCUAAAUCGGCCAAACGAAAAUACAGUUGAAGAUCUGUCGUGCACCACGAAGACACAAGCGAGGUUGAAGGUCACACAUCCAGUAUCGAGUAUCACAUCAAGCCACAUAUUGUCAAUUACAAUUACAACUUUCGCGGCAAAGGAAUCAGUGGUUAUAACAUUAGACGCAUUUUAAUAUUUUUGAAAAAAACUUCCGGCAAUCGAUAGAUCUCCAGUCCCUGAAUAUAAAUCAAUAAAAAUGUAAAAAGUUAUGAAAUCAGUGUUUUCAUCAUAUAAUGUAACCUUAA